GAUGAACGCUGGCGGCGUGCUUAACACAUGCAAGUCGAACGAAGCACCUUGAUUUGAUUCUUCGGAUGAAGAUCUUGGUGACUGAGUGGCGGACGGGUGAGUAACGCGUGGGUAACCUGCCUCAUACAGGGGGAUAACAGUUAGAAAUGACUGCUAAUACCGCAUAAGACCACAGCACCGCAUGGUGCAGGGGUAAAAACUCCGGUGGUAUGAGAUGGACCCGCGUCUGAUUAGGUAGUUGGUGGGGUAACGGCCUACCAAGCCGACGAUCAGUAGCCGACCUGAGAGGGUGACCGGCCACAUUGGGACUGAGACACGGCCCAAACUCCUACGCGAGGCAGCAGUGGGGAAUAUUGCACAAUGGGGGAAACCCUGAUGCAGCGACGCCGCGUGAGCGAUGAAGUAUUUCGGUAUGUAAAGCUCUAUCAGCAGGGAAGAAAAUGACGGUACCUGACUAAGAAGCACCGGCUAAAUACGUG
rnacentral:rRNA from 1 species